AGAUGGAGAAAUGGAGGAUAAUGGAGGUUAAAUAACUCGCCUAAGUCCAACGAGCAACAUUUGCCUGCCUUUGGAUGGAAUAUUUGAACGACUUUUGGGGUCACCUCAGUUGACUACCUGUGACUAUAUGUACCACUCCUGACCC